AUUUUCCACAGCCCACAGAAUCUACAUGGAAGGAGUUCAGUCAGACCUACUCUCAGGGGCGAGACGUGCAGAUGUCCCCGAGCACCGCUGCGGUGCACAGCCAGCAUCCAGACGACUCAGGAUGAGUGCAGCCUUCCUACGACAUCCGAGGCUGGCACGCUAACCUUUUACAAUCCUGCACACUGCUGCUACCCAGACACCACAGCAGCAUAGUUCUGGAAGAAAUGCUGCCACGCAGGUGGACUUUGUUGUUCGAGUCCAGACCUCAGCAGGUGUGCAGACCGACAGCUGCGAGGUAUCCCUGCCACCAGCAACUCCCGAACGAUCGGCAGAUGUUUAUGCUUGGCUGUGGGUACUUCGAGUUCAAGCUUCUUCAACACCAGUGCAGAGGGCCUUAUUUGUGGAUGCUGAUGAGGCAGAAGAAAUGGAGCUUGACUGCAGCUACAGGCCUUCAGCAGCAUUGCUCGACACCACUAGCACAAGCUUCAUAACGAGCAGCGGGCCAAGCUGGUGACAGAAGCAGCUGCCGACGAACUGGACUUGGCAGGGGAUGGCCGCUGCCAUUCUCCCGGACACAGUGCGAAAUACUUGACAUGUUCUGUGCUUGACACCAAGACCAACCGCAUCCUGCAUUGUCAACAGGUCCAAGUCCUAGAGGUGUUCCUGCAAGUGCAAAUGCGCAUCAAUGGCAGCCUUCAAGUGCUGACUGAACAUUUUCCUUUGACGACGUCAUCAGCACCAUGCCUACAUGUGCCUUACGCUGCGCUGAUUCCACACGUCAAAACGACUGAUUGAUCAUCCGUGGCAUCAUGGGAGGUGGACCGUCCUUUUGGUGCACCAGCGACGACAGCGAGAAUGUCAAGGCCGUAUAAAACGGAGAGCCAACCGCGUGCCCAUUUCAGUGGGCUUGGUGGCACCAUCCGAGACGCAAUGCUCAAUCCUUUGUUCGUUUUCGUACAGGUGGAGCGAAAACAGCGGUCGAGGCAGUCCCGGUGUUCUCAAGUUAAGGAGACGGAGAGCUGAACCCGGUUGGACCAUCUGGGGUGGUGCGCCCCAUACUAUGGUGGAGCGCAGCUGUCAGCACAGGGACAUCACUCACACCACAGGCUUUACCAUUGCCGAGUGCCGGGCGGAACCAACGAGGCUAAAAACUCGGAUUUCCUCACUGCUUUCCCGGGAAGUGAAGUAGCGGGCGAUCAUGUAAGAAUGAACUUGCAACAUGUGAGCUGAAGCCAAAGCUCCAUACAGGUCAUGCUGGUGGUGGAAGCUGGAAUGCUGAGGCAAACCACAAUAUUUAUUUGUUUACUUAUUCAUUUAUUUAUAGCAUUUAUUUAUUUACACCUUACUAAAACCUUACAGGCCUCCAGGAAGGAAUUAGGUAAAAUGAGCAAGUAUUAAUACAUCAAAGUAAACAUGUUAUACAAAAAAGCAAGAAAAGGCAUCAUUCGCAUAGCAUGAUGAAACAUUUUUUAUUUAGGCAACUAGUUGACUUUUUAUACAUUUAAAAAAAGCAAAAUUUCAGGAAUUGAAGCUCUAAAGUUAAAAACUCGCUUAUAAAUAAAAAAGAACUAUAUCACAGUUCUGUUAGUUGCGCUUAAUCCAUAACUAAAUUUGGAAAAAUUUGAGUAUCAUACGCUGCUCUAAAAAUACAAUCACUAAUUUGUGAGUAGGACGUGCAAAACGCUUAUAAACAUUGGAACAAUUUUAUGUAAGCUGUACAUUCAUAUAUCAAAUGUCUUGACUUUAGACAUAGCUGGUCCAGUCUGCAGAAAUGUGAUAUGCGUUUUUGGUGCAGAAUUGUUGAUUAAUAAAGUUCAUGCCUUUUUUUUUAUCUGUCUGUUUUCAAUAACUUUUACUCCUAGGCUCUAAAUCGAAAUUCUUCCUACAACCACUAGAACUUAACUUUCUCAAAUGCUACAGAUUUAAUUCAAGUUAGCCCUGUGGUUGUCUCAAAACCAUUUCUUCAUUUUAAAUGUAUUUGAUGAUGGAAAUCGGAGUUGGUCCUCAGCUAAAGCUCAAGUCCGAUUUGCAGAAUUAACAUAAUUGUCAAUCAUUUGUUCUUUUUUUUUCGUGAGUUACAGUUCUAAACUGAAUAAGUUUUUUUUUCUUAGAAUUCUGCAAUUUUCAUCAAUUCCUAAUAAAAAUUCAUGGCCUAAAUGUAAGAAAACAAUUUAAAAAUUUUGUCAGCGUAACAGAUGUCAUCAAAUUCAGUCCUGUGGUUGCCGAGAACAAUUUCACUAUUCACAUGUAUAGGAGCUCCUGAUCUAAAUCGUUUUCUUAAGUAUUGUGUGCGAAAACGAUUUAGAUCAGGAGCUCCUAUACAUGUCAGCAGUGAAAUUGUUUUUCUCGGCAACCACGGGACUGAAUUUGAUAACGUUUUCUUAAGUAUUGUGUGCAAAUUAAUCCGGAGCCCUCCACUACGGCGUGCCUCAUAAUCAGAACUGGUUUUGGCACGUAAAAAGCCCAGAAAGAAGUGAGUAUUGUGUGUCUUGGUCUGGUUUGUAUUUCCCACCAUAAUUUUUGAAUACUGGGUCCGAUCUCAAAAUGAUUUCCCUUAGAACAAAAUUCAAGCUUUUUAAGCUUUGUAGAAUAUAUGGCGUACUUCUCUACGAGUACCACUAUUUGCCUCAUUUUUACAAGGAAUGCCAGUGUUCUUUUUAUUAAACAUAGGCCAAAAUGCGGUGUUUUUGUAAGUUUAGUAUGGUUUUGUGGGGCUGGAGACAUAACAUUGCAGUGCACAUAUAUUUGUGCACAUUCAUAUGAAUUUAUUUUCGGGCUUUAGUAUUCAACCGUUGAAUGUGCACUGCUGGAAUAGCAGGUCCUUCUGCAGUUUUCAUGCGAAGCUUUAUUGUUAAGACAAGAAAGCCUGUUUUUGUCAGUUGUCAACUCCAGUCAAGUCUGCCACUGAUAUUUUUUCCUCAUGUUUCGUACGUUAGCACCACCAGCUUGACCCGAGAAGCACAUUAGCAGCUACAGUUUGUGUGUUGCAAGUUCUAGUGUGAAACAUGUAUGCCGACUUUUAUAGUCUGAAACGUGUACGGUAUGUAACAAGUAUGAAGCUUGUAUCUAGUCUGAAGUUCAAUAAACAUUGAAAACAGAUCACUUUGUGGUUGUAGUGCUAUAUUUUUGCCACUGCAUUUACUGUAAUCCUGA